rnacentral:rRNA from 1 species
AGCGGCGGACGGGUGAGUAAUGCAUAGGAAACUGCCCAGUAGUGGGGGAUAGCCCGGGGAAACCCGGAUUAAUACCGCAUACGCCCUUCGGGGGAAAGCAGGGGAUCUUCGGACCUUGCGCUAUUGGAUGUGCCUAUGUCGGAUUAGCUAGUUGGUGGGGUAAGAGCCUACCAAGGCGACGAUCCGUAGCUGGUCUGAGAGGAUGAUCAGCCACAUCGGGACUGAGACACGGCCCGAACUCCUACGGGAGGCAGCAGUGGGGAAUAUUGGACAAUGGGGGCAACCCUGAUCCAGCCAUGCCGCGUGUGUGAAGAAGGCUUUCGGGUUGUAAAGCACUUUCAGUGAGGAGGAAAACCUUAAGUUUAAUACGCUUGAGGCUUGACGUUACUCACAGAAGAAGCACCGGCUAACUCCGUGCCAGCAGCCGCGGUAAUACGGAGGGUGCAAGCGUUAAUCGGAAUUACUGGGCGUAAAGCGCGCGUAGGUGGUUUGAUAAGCGAGAUGUGAAAGCCCCGGGCUCAACCUGGGAACGGCAUUUCGAACUGUCAGGCUAGAGUAUGGUAGAGGAGUGUGGAAUUUCCUGUGUAGCGGUGAAAUGCGUAGAUAUAGGAAGGAACACCCGUGGCGACGCGCACUCUGGACCAAUACUGACACUGAGUUGCGAAAGCGUGGGGAGCAAACAGGAUUAAUAGCU